UGCGUAGGUGGUUGGUUAAGUUUGAGGUGAAAGCUCCGAGCUCAACUCGGAAAAUGCCUUGAAGACUAUCUGACUAGAGGAUUGGAGGGGAGAUUGGAAUUCUCGGUGUAGCAGUGAAAUGCGUAGAUAUCGAGAGGAACACCAGUGGCGAAGGCGAAUCUCUGGACAAUUCCUGACACUGAGGCGCGAAAGCCAAGGGAGCAAACG
rnacentral:rRNA from 1 species